UACUCGGGUGGCGAACGGGUGAGUAACACGUGGGUGAUCUGCCCUGCACUCUGGGAUAAGCCUGGGAAACUGGGUCUAAUACCGGAUAGGACCAUGCUUUAGUGUGUGUGGUGGAAAGUUUUUUCGGUGUAGGAUGAGCCCGCGGCCUAUCAGCUUGUUGGUGGGGUAAUGGCCUACCAAGGCGGCGACGGGUAGCCGGACUGAGAGGUUGGUCGGCCACAUUGGGACUGAGAUACGGCCCAG
rnacentral:rRNA from 1 species